UUUUUUUACAUGUUUUUGCGCAGUCUUCGCGAUGAUCACGGAUGAAAAACGUGCUAUAUACAAAUAAAUUUGGUUUCCAAAUGUGGAAUUGAAACUUUUUAUAGUUUACAUGAUAAAACAAUUAUGUUUUAAUAAAAAUAAAUUACUGUAUAAAUACGCUAAAUAUUUGAAGAUAAUAUGCUGUACCUAUUCAUAAAAAUAAUACACGAUGAAAAGUGAUUCUUGUUUCAAAAAGCAUAUCAAUGUCAACUUUUACCAGAGAACAUCGUGAAAAAUCUAAGUUUAUAAAGCACAAUUGAUUUUUUUCAACGUCUGAAUUAUAUUUGUAGUAUUCUUUUAAUUAACAAAAUAAUUUAACUAUGAAACAAAAUGAUAAAUAUUAUG